AGAGUUUGAUCCUGGCUCAGGAUGAACGCUGACAGAAUGCUUAACACAUGCAAGUCUACUUGAUCCUUCGGGUGAUGGUGGCGGACGGGUGAGUAACGCGUAAAGAACUUGCCCUGCAGUCUGGGACAACAUUUGGAAACGAAUGCUAAUACCGGAUAUUAUGUGAGUUUCGCAUGAAAUUCAUAUGAAAGCUAUAUGCGCUGCAGGAGAGCUUUGCGUCCUAUUAGCUAGUUGGUGAGGUAACGGCUCACCAAGGCGAUGAUAGGUAGCCGGCCUGAGAGGGUGAACGGCCACAAGGGGACUGAGACACGGCCCUUACUCCUACGGGAGGCAGCAGUGGGGAAUAUUGGACAAUGGACCAAAAGUCUGAUCCAGCAAUUCUGUGUGCACGAUGAAGUUUUUCGGAAUGUAAAGUGCUUUCAGUUGGGACGAAGUAAGUGACGGUACCAACAGAAGAAGCGACGGCUAAAUACGUGCCAGCAGCCGCGGUAAUACGUAUGUCGCAAGCGUUAUCCGGAUUUAUUGGGCGUAAAGCGCGUCUAGGCGGUUUGGUAAGUCUGAUGUGAAAAUGCGGGGCUCAACUCCGUAUUGCGUUGGAAACUGCCAAACUAGAGUACUGGAGAGGUGGGCGGAACUACAAGUGUAGAGGUGAAAUUCGUAGAUAUUUGUAGGAAUGCCGAUGGGGAAGCCAGCCCACUGGACAGAUACUGACGCUAAAGCGCGAAAGCGUGGGUAGCAAACAGGAUUAGAUACCCUGGUAGUCCACGCCGUAAACGAUGAUUACUAGGUGUUGGGGGUCGAACCUCAGCGCCCAAGCUAACGCGAUAAGUAAUCCGCCUGGGGAGUACGUACGCAAGUAUGAAACUCAAAGGAAUUGACGGGGACCCGCACAAGCGGUGGAGCAUGUGGUUUAAUUCGACGCAACGUGUUUCAUUGCCGUACGGUACACUCCGCGGCAAUACCGCUCCCAACAUGAAAGUGAUGAAAA
rnacentral:rRNA from 1 species